rnacentral:rRNA from 1 species
UGUCUGGGAAACUGCCUGAUGGAGGGGGAUAACUACUGGAAACGGUAGCUAAUACCGCAUAACGUCGCAAGACCAAAGAGGGGGACCUUCGGGCCUCUUGCCAUCAGAUGUGCCCAGAUGGGAUUAGCUAGUAGGUGGGGUAACGGCUCACCUAGGCGACGAUCCCUAGCUGGUCUGAGAGGAUGACCAGCCACACUGGAACUGAGACACGGUCCAGACUCCUACGGGAGGCAGCAGUGGGGAAUA